AUCCACACACUUAUUGUUCAUCUCACUAUCACUAUGGACAAGACGUCUUCAUUCUCCAUUCACAAAGGGAAACCGAUUAGAUGCAAAGCAGCAUUAUGUAGAAAAGCAAGAGAAGCACUGGUGAUGGAAGAGAUCCAAGUUGAUCCACCUCAAGCUUACGAAGUACGGAUUAAAAUCAUAUGUACUUCUCUUUGUCACACUGAUGUUACUUUCUGGAAGUUAGACAGUGUAAGUGUACUAUUGUAUCACAAAGUCAAAGCAAAAUCUAUUGUUCAAAAAAUCGUUCCACUAAUCUUUUUGAGUUUUCCAGGGGCCGCUUGCAAGGUUUCCUAGAAUUCUCGGACACGAAUCUGUCGGGUGAAUAAUUCAUACAAUUAUUUAGUUUCAACUUCAUUGAGAAUGUGCUUUGCUUACUUGUUUGGGUUAAUAUUGCAUUAUUACUUAAAUAUAUUGUUAUAAUUGGGUUUAUAACCAGCUUGGUCGAGAGCAUUGGUGAACACGUGGAUGGAUUUAAACAAGGUGACGUUGUAUUACCAGUGUUUCACCCUAACUGUGAAGAAUGCAAAGACUGCAAAUCUUCAAAGAGCAACUGGUGUGCGAGAUAUGCCAACGAUUCUAUAUCAAACACGAGACGAUAUGGAAUGGCUUCUAGGUUCAAAGAUUCUACUGGAGAAGAUAUCCACCAUUUUCUCUUUGUUUCCAGUUUCUCUGAAUAUACCGUGGUAGAUAUCGCACAUCUCGUAAAAAUCUCUCCUGAUAUCCCCGUUCAGAAAGCUGCUUUGCUCAGCUGUGGUGUCUCCACAGGUUUGUUUUCAUUCUUCUUUAGAUUUUUCUGAGGUUAAAACAUAAACAAAGUAGAUAGUAGGGGCUGCAUUGUUAUUAAAAGCAAGUUAGAUAUUGCAUAUUGGCUGAUUGUGGGUCACGUGGAGCAGGAGUUGGAGCAGCUUGGAAGGUGGCUAACGUGGAGGAAGGUUCCACCGUUGCAGUCUUUGGCCUCGGUGCUGUGGGACUUGCGGCUGCCGAAGGAGCUAGGCUGCGAGGGGCCGCGAAGAUCAUCGGUGUUGAUCUCAAUCCUGAUAAAUUCGAGUUAGGUAAAGUCGUGUUAUAAUGAAUGAUUAUAGGCUAAUAGCCUGCUGAAAUUUACUAUAUAAGGUCAUAUCAAAAGUCUUUGCUCGUCUACUUAAAACCAUUCUACCGGAUGCAAUCAAGCCAAAUCAGACAGCUUUCAUCAAAGGUCGGUUGUUGCUAAAAAAUGUGCUCCUAGCGUUGGAACUCGUGAACGAGUACCAGAGGACCUCGAAUUCCAAUAGAGCCACAGUGAAGUUUGAUAUCUCCAAGGCUUUCGACAUAGUCAAGUGAUCUUUUAUUACUUCUUUCCUCAAAGCCAAGGGCCUCCCCGCUCAGUUUUUACUUUGGACCAAGUCUGCAUAUCUAUUGCAUCGUUCUCUGUCAACAUCAAUGGUAGCUUGGAAGGCUUUUUAACUAGUGCUAGAGGUAUCCGUCAACACUUCUCCCUGUCGUUUUAUCUCUAUGUCAUAUUGGAUAAUGUCUUGACUAAGAUGUUGAAUAACGCAGCGGCAUCACAUCAGUUCGCUUAUCACCUGUAGUGUAGAGAAGUGCAGCUCGCACAUCUCAGUUUUGCCGAUGAUAUACUGGUGUUUACUGAUGGUUCAGUCAGAUCUUUACGUGGUUUUCUGGAAGUUAUGAAUCAGUUCGCCAGCAUCUCAGGACUUCACAUAAAUGCAUCUAAAUCCACCAUCUUUGCCGCAUCACAGACUAUAGACCCGCUAAUACACGAAGUUGAGCGUAUAGGAAUCAAGGUGGGAACUUUACCGGUUAAGUAUCUGGGUAUGCCUUUCACCACUAAGGCCCUCACAAAGCAGGACUAUGAAACUUUGAUAAACAGAGUACGUAAGAGGAUGCUCUUUUGGCGCAACAAGUUUUUCCUAUGCUGGUCGUUUACAAUUAAUCAAGUUUGUUAUCUAUAGUAUUGUAAACUUCUGAAGCCAACUUUCAUUCUUCCUAAAGCUUGUCUGGAUGAGAUUGAAAGUAUGUGCAGUGUUUUUUGUGGUUGGGCUCUCCAAAUCAGACCCACACUGCAUUCUUCCUAAAUCAGUUUAUUCGGUACGAGGUGAAUGAUGGCCAUGCUGCCUACUUUUGGUUCGAUGAUUAGUGAAAAAUAGAGAAGCUUAUAGAUAUCACUGGUGUUAUUAGCACUUGUUACCUUGGAGUAGCUCGCAAUGUGCGGGUGAGUGAUGCAGUUCUGCACUUGGAUUGGAACAUUCGAGGUCAUAGAACCCGGCACUUCCACACCCUUUACGAUCGCAUUGAAAAUGAGCAGGUGCCUAAUGACUCUCUUGGUAGCGAUGUGGUGGUCUGGAAGCAUUCAAAGGAUACCUAUAAAACUUUUUUUCAUUGGCAGGACUUGGGACCAAAUCAGGGUGAAAAAGGCUACUGUAUUCUGGAGUAAAAAUGUUUGGUUUUCUCAUACGGUUCCGCGGUUCUCUUUCAUAGUAUGGCUGGCAGUGAAGAAUAGAUUAUCAAUAGGUGAUAGAAUGAUAACUUGGAGUAUCCAGUAGGGGUGUGUCUUGUGUGGAGAGAGAGAGAGAGAGAGAUGAGACACAUGACCGUGUUUUUGUUUGCAUGCCCUUACUCUUUUACGGUGUGGGACAAGCUUGCAAAUCGACUGAGUGGGGAUAUGACCGAUCCAGAUUAGAUGGCUACAUUGCAGUUUGUGAGUGGAAAUUCUCUUCAUGUCAUGGACAAGAUUCUUCUCAAAAUGGUGUUUCGGAGUAGUAUCUAUCAUCUUUGUAGAGAGAGGAAUGAGAGAAACACCAAACGGGGUUUCAGACAGCGGAACAGGUGGUUCGGAUCAUUGAUAAGGCUAUGCGAAAUAGGAUUACUUCUCUUCGAUAUAAGGCCGACCACAAGUUUGCAGGCUUGAUGUGUCGGUGGUUCGAAGUUACAACUUAGCACACAUGAGCUUGAAAUUCAUUUAUUACAAGCAUUGUAUAGUUUUUCUUUUAUAGUUCUUAUAGUCUCUCAUAACCUUUUGUAAAUUUCUAUUCUUCUUCGUUGAUCAAUAAAUAUCACAUUUUAUCAAAAAAAAAUAAUUAUUAUAAAGGGCAAUGAAUAAGAUGACAUAUAUCACACUCCCAAAGUUUUUUUUUUGUAAGAGGCAUAAUACUUUAUUAUAAAAUUAAGAUACAUAAUAUUUGUUUAUUAUCUUAUAUAUAUAUGAUUAUGUUAGAUGUUAUAAAGAGUGACAUCAGCUUUAAUUGGUGACCACUUAAUAAAUAGAAUGAAUAAAAUAAAAGUUGAACAAAAAAUUUCUUUGAAAAAUAGAAUUGAAAAAGAAUAGUUGAAUAGAAAGAAACAAAUGCUUCAUAUCAAACUUAAAAAAGGAAAAUUUUCUUCAUUAGUUCAUCUGUAUAUGAGCAAAAAAGAGGAAUGUAGUGGAGCUGAUGAAUUACUAGUUAGACAAAAAAAUUAACUUAACUGAUAUCAAUUCUGAGAAAUAAUAAAUUUAUCAUUUUUUUUCCUAAAAUAUGUUACUAGUUACACCCUUAUUGUCUUAAGGAAAUAUUUUAAUGUAAAAUAAAUAAAUAAAAUUAAGUGAUUAAAUUAGUGGUAGAAUUAGAUUACAAAAGGCAAAAACGAAUAUAUUAACUGAAGGCUAGAAAAAUGAAAAAAAAAUAAGAUGGUACAUGUCAAUUUAAAGUUUUUUUAUCUAAAAGACAUUUUAUUUUAUUAUAUAAGACCAAUAAAUAUGAAAUAAAUUACUCAAUUGUUGAAUAAAAACAAAUAGCAAAAAUAAAAUAAAUAGAUUAAUUAUUGAUUAACAAUAAAUGAUAAAAAUAAAAUAGCACAUAUCACCUUCUUGAAGUUUUGUAAGAAAUCUUAUUUUGUUGUAUAAGAUAUAUGUUAUUUUAAAGCAAAGAUUUUUUCAAAAAGGAAAGAUACGUUAUUUUACAAGUUUUUUUUGUCAACGUUUUAAAAUUUAAAAUGUAUCCAACAUUAUAAUAACUUUUAAAGCUUUUCUUAUAGUGGUGUAUCGCCUGGAAAAUAUAUAUAAAGGGAAGAUAGGGAGAAUCAGAGACUCCACUUUCUCUCUCUCUCUUUUUCAUCCACACACUUAUUGUUCAUCUCACUAUCACUAUGGACAAGACGUCUUCAUUCUCCAUUCACAAAGGGAAACCGAUUAGAUGCAAAGCAGCAUUAUGUAGAAAAGCAAGAGAAGCACUGGUGAUGGAAGAGAUCCAAGUUGAUCCACCUCAAGCUUACGAAGUACGGAUUAAAAUCAUAUGUACUUCUCUUUGUCACACUGAUGUUACUUUCUGGAAGUUAGACAGUGUAAGUGUACUAUUGUAUCACAAAGUCAAAG
rnacentral:lncRNA from 1 species